GCAUGGGUUUGGAUUGUUGGCAGGCCCGACCCCCUGGGUCUUUCAUGUGCCCCAUGCCAGAGCAAGCUGCAGACAUGAACCAUUGCCCGGCCUCUGCUCAUAGUCUGCAGGCACUGAAGCAGGUUACACAGUA